CAAACACCCAGUUAUGGAAAUGCAACGCAGGUCUUUGAUUUUAGGUGUGGUGCUACUAAUUGGCUUUGCAUUGACAAAUAGCAAAGCUGCGCUUACAGUUCCACCCAUUCAUAUUGACACUCCCUUCAACAGGAGCAGUUUUCCACCAGGUUUCAUAUUUGGCUCAGCUUCAGGAUCUUACCAGUUUGAAGGUGCUGCAAGUGAAGGUGGUAGAGGACCAAGCAUAUGGGAUACUUACACCCACAAUCAUUCAGAAAGAAUUGCUGAUUGCAGUAACGGAGACAUCGCUCUUGAUCAAUAUCACAAGUAUAAGGAAGAUGUGGGUAUUAUGAAAGAUAUGGGGUUAGACGCUUAUAGAUUCUCUAUCUCGUGGUCCAGAUUGUUACAAAGUGGAAAGUUAAGUGAUGGUGUGAACGAGGAUGGAAUCACAUACUAAAACAAUCUAAUCAAUGAACUCCUUGGAAAUGGUCUAAAGCCAUUUGUCACACUCUUUCAUUGGGAUCUUCCUCAAUUUUAGAAGACGAAUAUGGUGGUUUUUUAAGCCCUCGUAUUGUCAAUUAUUUUCAAGACUAUGCAGAACUAUGUUUUGGUGAUCGAGUAAAGUAUUGGACCACGUUGAAUGAGCCAUUUACCUAUAGUAGCAAUGGUUAUGCAUUUGGCUCUAUGGCACCAGGACGAUGCUCUACUUGGCAAAAACUAAAUUGCACUGGCGGAAAUUCAGCUAUUGAACCAUAUCUGGUGACACACCACCUCCUCCUUGCUCAUGCAGCUACUGCAAACUUGUAUAAGAAUAAAUUUCAGGCAUCUCAAAAAGGUGUGAUAGGACUUACGCUUGUGUCACCCUGGUUUGUGCCUCUUUCAGAGGCAAAUAAAGAUCAAAAGGCUGCAUUACGGGCUUUGGACUUUACUUUUGGAUGGUUUAUGGAGCCAUUAACAAGUGGAAACUAUCCGCACAUCAUGCAGUCUCUCAUUCAAGGACGAUUACCAAAAUUCACAGAAGAACAAUCCAAGUUACUAAUUGGGUCAUUUGAUUUUCUUGGACUAAAUUACUAUACUGGUUUCUAUGCAAGUAAUGCAUCUCAUAAUAUUUCUGUACAUGCAAGCUACAUAACAGAUACUCGCGUGAAUCUUACAUCCAAGCGCAAUGGAGUCCCUAUUGGUGCAAAGGGUGCUUCAGACUGGCUAAAUAUUUAUCCAAUAGGAAUUCAAGAGUUUUUACUCUACACGAAGGAAAAGUACAAUAAUCCAAUCAUUUACAUUGUCGAGAAUGGCAUUGAUGAAUUGAAUGAUCCAAAAUUAUCACUUAAGGAUGCCCUUUAUGAUACCAAGAGAGUUGACUACCACAUGCUUCACCUCUUUUAUGUUCAAAGUGCAAUCAAAAAUGGUGUCAAAGUGAAGGGAUAUUUUCUAUGAAUACACUGUUCGAUUUGGUAUCAACUCUGUGGAUUACAAUAAUGGGUUGAGAAGGCUCCCAAAACUCUCAGUACACUGGUUCAAAAGUUUCCUCAAGAAAUACUGA